rnacentral:rRNA from 1 species
CGGGACGGGGUGGAGUAAUGUCUGGGAAACGUGCCUGAUGGAGGGGGAUAACUACUGGAAACGGUAGCUAAUACCGCAUAACGUCGCAAGACCAAAGAGGGGGACCUUCGGGCCGUCUUGCCAUCGGAUGUGCCCAGAUGGGAUUAGCUAGUAGGUGGGGUAACGGCUCACCUAGGCGACGAUCCCUAGCUGGUCUGAGAGGAUGACCAGCCACACUGGAACUGAGACACGGUCCAG